GAGCACCUCUCUCUCUCCGCCCACUCGGCCACCACGCGGCAGCCGAGCGAGGGCCUCGGGGCAGCUU
rnacentral:pre_miRNA from 1 species